rnacentral:miRNA from 14 species
UGGGUGUGUGUGUGUGUGCGAGUGUGUGGGUGUGUCAGUUUCACACACACACACACACACACACACACACACA